GUGAGAAACAGCAGAGCAAUUCCCAGGUCUGUGGAGGUCCUUUGAGAAGGGGCUAUGCUAUCCAGAUACACUGUCUGACUCUUGGAUCUUGAGGUUCCAAGAGCCCAGAUGCUGAGUUGGAGGCCUGAACCAGGUAUCCACUGCCACUGUAAGGCCUUGUGAUAACCAGUCACAAACCCUCCAUGCCACACUGAGGAAGCCACUCAGUCAGCCCCCUAUCUGCAAGUCCAGAUGCUCUGGGCCCUGCUGAGCUUGCUCCUGGGCCAUGGCCAGCUGCCUCCUCUCCUCGGCUCUGCUGACCUGGCCAGGGCACAGGUGCCCGGGCAGGAUGGCUUCCAGCUGGGCCCUGUCUUCCUUCUCACGGGGCAGCUGUGCUUCAGGGCGACGGCACAACAAGCAGGAACAUGCCAGUGCUUUUUCAGGUCUCUGCUUGCAUCUGUCUUUGCCAACAGUGCUUUGGCCAGGUUCCUGGCGAACCUUGAUCUUUAGAGAAAUUGGAAAGUCACAUGGCAAAGGGCAGGGAAGGAGAGGGGAUCGCCCUGCCUCCAAGUGGAGCUUUCACCCCCGUGGAAACUGUCGUGUUUCUCCCGAUUCCCCACUGCAUUGAAACAGUUAGAAAGAAUGCUGUUCUGCUUCGGUGGAUCCCUGUGCAUGGCUUCUCCCCGUCAGUCACAGCGAUGCCGCCCGAGCCGCUCCCUGGCAAGCUGUCCACCCUCCCUGUGCCCUGGCCACACUGGCGUGGCCUUCUGUGUCCAGGGUUGGUACAUGCUGUCCCCUUUACCUGGAAACCCCCAGCCUACCUUCACCUUUCAGGGACUGCCCCUCUUCCCCCCUUAGGACUCCCUCAAAUGUCACCUUCCGCCACCUCCUAACCCUCACUUUUACUCGAUUUCAGUUUCCUACUUGUAAUUCUAUUGAGCGCUCUUCUUUUUUUUUCUUUUUUUUUUGGUACCAGGGAUUGAACUUGGGUCCAUGCACUUGUAAGGCAGGCGCCAGAACCACUGAGCUAAAUUCCCGGCCCCAGAGCACUCUUCUUGUUUGAUAGUGGGGAUCUGUUUCCCCCACUGACAAGUCUAAGACAAGGACCUCAUCUGCUCCCACCGUGUCCCUGUGCCCAGCACAGCACAGAAUUGAAGGUCCUGCAUCCUCAGAGACGCCCCACAUCCGUGGAACGUCCAGGUGCUUGGCUUGUCAGAGAGAGCACUUUGACGGGAAUAAGACUACAGGUGUCUUCCCUCUUGCAUGGUGAGGGGCUGAGGAGCAGGACCAGGAGCCAUCCCAAGCUGUCACAUGCCACCGGACAUAAGGAAAGUAGGAGGAAGAGAAAGCAUUAUGAUAUCUUCCAAUUCCUUAUUUAAAAUAGAAGAUACAUAUUAGUCUGCAGCCCAGAGCUGAGGGUGCACCUGAGCCUAGAAGGAGCCUGCCCAGGGAUCAGCAAGCAAUGAGCACAGGCCAGCUCAGCCCCAUCCCGUUUUUGUAAAUAAAGUUUUAUUGGAACACGG
rnacentral:lncRNA from 1 species